CUUACUUGCUUGUGUUUGCGUUAAUACCCCUUGUGGGGGGGGGGGCAGGUGGAGAUUUGCCCAGGAUGCAUCUGGCUGGAAGCGUUGUGUUGGGCUAGUUGUGACCUCAGGGGGUGGUGGUUGUCCUCCUUGUUUCCCGAGGGCUGCUGCUUCUGGGGUGCUGCUUCUGCUCCCCCCCCCUGGUUCCCAGCAGCAAGAGCGGAGUGAGUGGGCAAACUCCUCUCCAGCCAAGCCUGCCUAGUACCACUUGGCAAAAACUCUCCUCUUGGGGGGGGGGAUUUCCAGCUGCUUUUGGUGGGGGGGAUUCCUGGCAGGAGACGAAAAAUAGGACAAGCUCCAGCAGGACCUGCCUGGUGCCCGUGUCCAGGUUCAGCUCAAGCUCCUUGCACAGAUGCAAUCUCAGAGAAAACUAGCCCUCCUGCCCACCAAAAAAAAGGUUAAUGGGACUUCUUCUUCACCAGAAGAUUCCUCACGAGAGCAAAAGGAUGCAACAGAAGGCCAGCCGAAGGACGUCCAAGGAGGCAACCAAGCAGAAGCCAAUCUCUGCCGUCAGGUUCAUCAUACCCUGCUCUGUUUUGUGUGUCGGCUGGAGCUCGGAGCCCCUGUGCACGUGUGUCCGGCGUCCUCAGUUCUCCCGCGGCUGAGGAGGGCGAGAGUGUGGCUUCUCCAGGGGGCUUCUUUCUGAGCCAGACCUCCUCUCUCCAAGCGAGAGAAGAGAGCAGCAUAACCGUCAAGACUGUUAAGUGCCUGGAGGGCUUCAUCAUCUGCGUCCCGUUCUGUCCUCCCACCGGUCCAGGGUGGCAGCUUGAGCAGAAAGAUGGUCCACGCAGGCUUCCUGCUGAGCUGCGUGCCGGGUGGCAGUCUGGAACCAUUUCGCCUUUCCAACAGCCCUGCGGAGCAGGCAAAGUUUCAAGACUCAGUGGAGCAGAGCUUGAGAGAGCAAGGCAGCCGGGGACACGGAGGAAGUUGGGCUGCACGACACCAGUGAGGAAGUGGCCAAGCUGUGCCAUGCCAGGAUUGUGAGAACUGAUGCUCCCCCUGUCCAGUUAUGGUGCGUGUCGUCCGGGGAGAAGAAUGCUGUGCUUCUUCCCGGGAUCAGGACACUGGGGCACCACAGCAUCCUGCAUCCUGACGCUGUCUACAGAGAAAAGCUUGAUCUCUGGAGCCCCACACUGCAACCGUGGGUGGUGGUCGGUGGUGCUAGGGGCCUCUCAGAGUUGGGUUAAGUUGGGACGUUACUCCGUAUUUGGAAGGCUUUGUAGCUGAUAAGUACUUCACAGACGGUUUCAUUGCAGAGUGAGUGUGUGUGAGAUCUAUAAACGUGUGUAUGAAAUGGAUAACCAAUUGGCUUGAGUUUGGGGGUGAAUAUUUUUGUGCAAAUAGUCUGAGUUUGCUGGAAACCCUCUGUAUAAUUGGAUUUGGAAAAAUAAUUGUGUUUUGUGGCAUUAUUUAACACGUAUAAACUUUGUAAAGGAUG